rnacentral:rRNA from 1 species
UACGUAGGGGGCAAGCGUUGUCCGGAUUUAUUGGGCGUAAAGAGCGUGUAGGCGGCCUGACAGGUCUGCUGUGAAAACUCGAGGCUCAACCUCGAGAUGUCGGCGGAAACCGUCUGGCUAGAGUCCGGAAGAGGAGAGUGGAAUUCCUGGUGUAGCGGUGAAAUGCGCAGAUAUCAGGAGGAACACCGGUGGCGAAGGCGGGAUCCUGGGCCAGUACUGACGCUCAUGCACGAAAGCGUGGGGAGCAAACAGG